rnacentral:tRNA from 1 species
GGUUGUGGCUUAGUGGUAGAGUGCUUGCCUAGCAUGUGUGAGGCACUGGGUUCGAUCCCCUGCACCA